GAGGAGUGUCAGUGAUAGUUCGGCCGAAAAGGGGCGGAGCUACGCGGACCAAGGGGGCGGAGCUACACAGGAUCAUGCUAUUGAAGAUCUGGCCAGCACAACUGUGCAGCAGAGAAUGAAUCGUGUAAUGAUAAUCUCAGGCCGGACCAAUUAUUGGCCUUUAAAGUGAAGACACUAAAGACAACGGUGACUACAUCUCCUGCAAUGAGGAUGGAUGCGGCUUACUACUGUACAUAGAAUAGCAAUCAGCUACAUUAUCUCGUUACUCAUUAAGGUAAU